GUGAAUCAUCGAAUCUUUGAACGCAAAUUGCACUCUCUUCGGAGAGUAUGCCUGUUUGAGGGCACCAUUUAGCAGAUAAUGUGCAGCGUUUUUUGUUGCACACGUUGAUGAGCUUUCCAAGAAUUUUAAAUUUUUGGUGGCUCAUAAUGAACAGCGUGAAAGUUUUUUUCAGUUCUAGUGUAUUAAAAUCUUUGCUUGGGUUGUGAAAAAACAUAAUCGCUCAAUGGGUGUGGCAAUUUCUUUUUAUCCCUGCCCCAAUGCCACUCGUUCUUACGAAAGAAUGUCUACUUUGCAG
rnacentral:misc_RNA from 1 species